AAUCCGAUUUUGAACAGUGGCAAGUAACAAACGAUUGGUCUGUGACGCGUUAUCACAUCAAACAGCUGCGGUACAAAGAUUUUCUUUAAUGGUUAACGCAAACGAAUCUGCCUUCUCAAACGCAAACGUUCGACGACCGUUCUUCCUUCACUGAGAGAAACAAUGCAGUGACGCAAAACUAUUCGAAAUAUUUUUCGAGAAAUAUAUAUUUUGGAUUAAUUGGAAUCGAUGAGGAGAUAGAUAUUUAGAAGAUAAGUUAUCCGAAUUUAUAAUUUUAUUUUUACUCGAAUGCCAUUUAAUUGAACCUUGGACUUUACUUGGAAAGAUUUAUCUUCUGAACGAGAAUGCAAAAUUGAAUUCACUCGAAAAUUUAGAAGCUAAUAACAAUAACAAUUUUGACAAUAAAACGUGUAUUCCUCAAAGGAUUAAUCGCGAAAGACGUGAAAAAUAAGAGUAACAUCGGACGUGCAUAUAUGCAGCCGUAGAUAUGCUCGAGAUAUGACAAAAUGGAAACGUGUAUAUGGAAUAAAUUAUACGCAUUAUCGCAUAAAGUGACGUAUAAUUAGAUUAAAUCUUCUCCCGAUCGAUAAACAAUCUUAACAAUAAUAAAAAAUCCCCUGGAAAAAUAAUUAAAAUCGAAUAAAAUUUUUAGAAUCCUGGAGAAAAAAGGAUAUUUCUUUGAUGAUUGAGAAGACAGAUUCGAUAAUUUACCGUUUUCUUUUUAUAAUUUGUGCUUCAAAUUUAAAAAUUCGCUCAAAUACUCGAUCACUAUAACUAAAGAAUAUUUUUACGAAUAUUUUCCUUUCUCAAGUCGAAGCAUUAAUUUGCAUCCCUUCCUUCUUUCCUCUCCUCCUUAAUUAAUUCGGCUGAAACAAUCGAUAUUGAUAUUGCCAAUUCAUCAUUGUGAUUCCAAUACGCGGCAGAAUUUUGCAAUAAUGCACGGGCAUGAUAAAGUACUACAGAUAUCCAUGUCAUCCCAACACGCGUCUCAUUUCAAUUUAACGAAAACAUCGGGCAGAACAUUAUCGAAACCGCUGAAUACGUGAAUUGUAUUAUCUGCAAGUAUCUCUGUUCAACAAUGAGAAUAAAUCAAUAAUAGAAAA